GAACAACUCACAACUCAGGGAAGUGCUGUACUUGCAACUGUAGUUUUAUUAGAAAGAAUCUGGAUCAGGACCAGUCAGAUGAAGAGACGCACAGGGCGAGGUGUGGGAGGGUCCCCACAGGGAGCCUCCAUGCCCGCCACCUGUGGAGUCAGGGUGUGCACCCUCCCAGCACAUCCGUGUGUCCACCAGCCGGGAAACUCCACCGCACCUCGGUCUCCAGAGUGUUUACUGGGGUUUCGUUACAUGGAACAGGGACCACAGACUCCACUCCAUCUCCAGCCCCCACAGAAGUCCUGCUGGCUCCAAGCCCAGCCCUCUGAUCACAGGGUUGGCCUUUCUGGUAACCAGGCCCAUCCUGAGCCAUCACAUUAGCAUAAACUCAGGCGUGAGCCAAGGAACUCAUGAAUAGCAAGAUACUCCUGUCAUUCAGAAAAUGCCCAGGGUUUUGAGAGGCCAGGUGCCAGGAACCCAGAACAAAGACCAGAGAAACUCUUUAUUUUACAACAGAGUAGAAUGAGAAAACUAAGAGAUUUUUUUAUAAUGAGUUAGCCAGUGACAGGUUAAAUAACAAUGAUGUGGGCUCUCACUUAAUCCCCAAGGAGUUAUGUAAUGGUCAAGUUACUUUCCCUUUGAACUUCCUGCUGUCGCUCUGCCCCUUGUGAUAAUUGAUAAUUACAUCUGGAUGAACUCCUGCCUCCCUCUGCAGACGUGGGGAAUUGAAUGCUCUCUUGCGCAUUUAGCUGCGUAUUGCUUUCCACAACAACGUAGAACUGUGUGAGAUUCCUUUUCUCACACUAGGACUGUUUCAACAUUUUUAGGACACUGCUUCAUCCAUCCUUUAGCUCCUGCCAUUCUUCCAAAAAAGAGAAUUUGGGGUAAUGUACACAUUUGGCACCAUAUGAAUACAUAUUCUAAAAAUCGCAUUCUUAACAUUUUUCCAAAACCUGUUUUUUUCCUUUUCCCCCUUUCCAUGGUCCCCUCUAUCCAACUUCAGUAUUCCAGAAAUCAGAGUCUAGUAUGAGAAUUCUCUUUGGAAGUUAAGAUUGAUCUGUGUCAAUUAAGAUGCUUUCAGCUUCAAGUAAAAUGAAUAAAGAAACAUGCCAAUGGGCUUAAACCAUCAGGAAUUGUAAUGGCUCAUGUAACUGAAAAUGCAGACAUAGGGUGAGUUCCAGGCAGCCGGGAGUCUGGCACAGUUUCUUAAUAAUCCUUCUCAGCUUUACCACAGAAAUGAGGGCAGUGUGCUUCCUGGUUUGUGUCUAGCAAGAGAGACUGGUUUUCUGUCACUGUCUUUAAAAAUAAGGAGAAUCUUUUCCAGAAGUCUCUAGCAGCCGUCCCCUGGAAUUGAACUGACCAAGAUUGCAUUAUCUGCCUCUUCCUAGCUGGAGAGAUGGGAUUAAUGUUAGUCUGUUUAGAGCCCAUCCCUGGAACUGGGAAUCCGGUAUCAUCUGUGAGUCUCAUCGGCUGCAAGGGUGAGGGGUGGGUAUCUCAUCAGAAGAUCUGUUAGGAGGGUGGGAGGAGGAAAAUGGACAUCGAGUGGGCAACCACGGUUGUUCACUGUACCUGGAAAAGUGACCUGGCAGGUUGAUGAUGACAAAACAACAUUUAUCCAGCACUUACUGUAUUCUAGGUGCUGCGUGUGCGUUUUCUCCUAACAGCCCUUUCAGGCAGGUACCGCUCUUCUUCUCGUUCUACGAAUGAUGACACCGAGAGAGAUUAAGGGACUUGCAUUGAUGCUGCACAAAGACGGAUCACUGACGUGCCACCUGAUUUGAUUACACAGUCCACGUGUUGAGAGGUGGUGAGAUGUGAAACUCAGAGUCACUCCCUGUUUGAUUUUGUAGCUUGCAUACAAGAUCCUCCUAAAAGUAAUAAAUUAUAAUUUAAAAAGUAACUCAAGUAAUUUAAUUCUAUUAAGGAUAUGUAAUGUGACCAUAAGCAAAAGAUGGAGACAACCCAAAUUUCCAUUGACAGGUGAAUGGAUUAGACAAAGUGUGGUCUACCCAGACAGUGGGAUCUAAGCAGCCUUAUAAAGGGGUGCAGUCCUGACACCUGCCGCAACACGGGUAAAGCCUGAAGACUUCAUUCCAAGUGAAACGAAGGGCCAGUAUUUUAUGACUUCACUUAAAUGAGGUAGUGCCGGUCUGCAGGUACAAAAUGGGAGUAACCUUAGCAGGAAUGAUUCACAUGCCGCUGACUCUCGCCCAGACCGAUGCACAGAAGACAUCAAGUCAGCCCCACUGCAAAGCCUCAUGCUAUGCUCUUAUUUUUUUUAUUUUUUAUUUUUUUGAGGAAGAUUAGCCCUGAGCUAACUACUGCCCGUCCUCCUCUUUUUGCUGAGGAAGACUGGCCCUGAGCUAACAUCCG
ensembl:lncRNA